rnacentral:rRNA from 1 species
UACGUAGGGUGCGAGCGUUGUCCGGAAUUACUGGGCGUAAAGAGCUCGUAGGUGGUUUGUCGCGUUGUCCGUGAAAACUCACAACUCAAUUGUGGGCGUGCGGGCGAUACGGGGCAGACUGGAGUACUGCAGGGGAGACUGGAAUUCCUGGUGGUAGCGGUGGAAUGCGCAGAUAUCAGGAGGAACACCGGUGGCGAAGGCGGGUCUCUGGGCAGUAACUGACGCUGAGGAGCGAAAGCGUGGGGAGCGAACAGGA